GACGAACGCUGGCGGCGUGCCUAAUACAUGCAAGUCGAACGCAGUGGGGACGGGUGAGUAACCCGUGGGUAACCUCCCAUCAGAGGGGAUAACACUUGGAAACAGGUGCUAAACCGAUACUGAUGGAUGGACCCGCGGUGCAUUAGCUAGUUGGUGAGGUAACGGCUCACCAAGGCCACGGUGCAUAGCGGACCUGAGAGGGUGGUCGACCAACCGGGACUUGAGCCAGGGCCCAGCCUCCUACGGGGGGCAGAAGAAGGGAAUCUUCGGAAAUGGACGAAAGUCUGACCGGGCAACGCCGCGUGAGUGAAGAAGGUUUUCGGAUCGUAAAACUCUGUUGUUAGAGAAGCGGUAUCUAACCAGAAAGCCACGGCUAACUACGUGCCAGCCGCCGCGGUAAUA
rnacentral:rRNA from 1 species